rnacentral:rRNA from 1 species
AUUGAACGCUGGCGGCAUGCUUUACACAUGCAAGUCGAACGGCAGCGCGGGGCAACCUGGCGGCGAGUGGCGAACGGGUGAGUAAUAUAUCGGAACGUACCCAGAAGUGGGGGAUAACGUAGCGAAAGUUACGCUAAUACCGCAUACGAUCUACGGAUGAAAGUAGGGGACCGCAAGGCCUUAUGCUUUUGGAGCGGCCGAUAUCUGAUUAGCUACUUGGUGAGGUAAAGGCUCACCAAGGCGACGAUCAGUAGCUGGUCUGAGAGGACGACCAGCCACACUGGAACUGAGAAACGGUCCAGACUCCUACGGGAGGCAGCGGUGGGGAAUUUUGGACAAUGGGGGGAAGCCUGAUCCAGCAAUGCCGCGUGAGUGAAGAAGGCCUUCGGGUUGUAAAGCUCUUUUGUCAGGGAAGAAACGGUAGAGGCUAAUAUCCUUUGCUAAUGACGGUACCUGAAGAAUAAGCACCGGCUAACUACGUG